rnacentral:rRNA from 1 species
AGUGAACGCUGGCGGCAGGCCUAACACAUGCAAGUCGAACGGCAGCACAGUAAGAGCUUGCUCUUACGGGUGGCGAGUGGCGGACGGGUGAGGAAUACAUCGGAAUCUACUUUUUCGUGGGGGAUAACGUAGGGAAACUUACGCUAAUACCGCAUACGACCUACGGGUGAAAGCAGGGGAUCUUCGGACCUUGCGCGAUUGAAUGAGCCGAUGUCGGAUUAGCUAGUUGGCGGGGUAAAGGCCCACCAAGGCGACGAUCCGUAGCUGGUCUGAGAGGAUGAUCAGCCACACUGGAACUGAGACACGGUCCAGACUCCUACGGGAGGCAGCAGUGGGGAAUAUUGGACAAUGGGCGCAAGCCUGAUCCAGCCAUACCGCGUGGGUGAAGAAGGCCUUCGGGCUGUAAAGCCCUUUUGUUGGGAAAGAAAAGCAGCAGGUUAAUACCCCGCUGUUCUGACGGUACCCAAAGAAUAAGCACCGGCUAACUUCGUG